UACAGAGGGUGCAGGCGCUAAUCGGAAUUACUGGGCGUAAAGCGCGCGUAGGUGGUCUGUUAAGUUGGAUGUGAAAUCCCCGGGCUCAACCUGGGAACUGCAUUCAAAACUGACUGACUAGAGUAUGGUAGAGGGUGGUGGAAUUUCCUGUGUAGCGGUGAAAUGCGUAGAUAUAGGAAGGAACACCAGUGGCGAAGGCGACCACCUGGACUGAUACUGACACUGAGGUGCGAAAGCGUGGAGAGCGAACAGG
rnacentral:rRNA from 1 species